rnacentral:rRNA from 1 species
AACGAACGCUGGCGGCAUGCCUAACACAUGCAAGUCGAACGAGACCUUCGGGUCUAGUGGCGCACGGGUGCGUAACGCGUGGGAACCUGCCCUUAGGUUCGGAAUAACUCCCCGACAGGGGUGCUAAUACCGGAUAAGGUCUUCGGACCAAAGAUUUAUCGCCUUUGGAUGGGCCCGCGUUGGAUUAGCUAGUUGGUAGGGUAAAAGCCUACCAAGGCGACGAUCCAUAGCUGGUCUGAGAGGAUGAUCAGCCACACUGGGACUGAGACACGGCCCAGACUCCUACGGGAGGCAGCAGUGGGGAAUAUUGGACAAUGGGCGAAAGCCUGAUCCAGCAAUGCCGCGUGAGUGAUGAAGGCCUUAGGGUUGUAAAGCUCUUUUACCCGGGAUGAUAAUGACAGUACCGGGAGAAUAAGCUCCGGCUAACUCCGUG